CAACUAGUCGUUCGUGGUCGGGCAACCGGUCCACGAUGUAAGCUCACUAGUCACCCUUGAAUAAACUACCUUUGUUGCUUUGGCGGGCCGCCGCAAGGCCAGCGGCUCCGGCUGCUGCGCGCCCGCCAGAGGCCCGAAACUCUUUGUCAUCAGUGGCCUCUCUGAGUAACUUAUACAAUAAGUCAAAACUUUCAACAACGGAUCUCUUGGUUCU
rnacentral:misc_RNA from 1 species